UAGUCCUCAACAGAUAAAGCUACUGUUCAACAUUUUCACAUUAAAACAUGAUGUAUAAAUAUAUGAAUAUGUCUACAACUAUCAUGUUAACACCUUAGUAUUAUAUUCACCAUAAAAAAGUAUAUCUAAAGGCUCUAGGCCGCCUACACACGUUAUUGUAGACCCAGUUUAAUAUGCAUCUUAACUUUAUACAUUAUAUACAUAUAGUAAGGGGUCCCUGCUCCGUUUCUUUUUCAGCUAAGGGGUCCUUGGCUUAAAAACAUUGAAGACCCCUGGUUCAGCUUGUACACUUCUCAGAAAUGUGUUAGAUUAAACUACAUGUAAAACCAAACAAUAUAAGUUUAACAUUCAUGUAACUCUAUCACAGGGUUGAUUGUUACAUUCUCAGAUUUAAUUUAAUACUGAUGUUGCUGGAAAGAUCAAGGGCAUUGCUAUUACAGCUUUCACACAUCACUGCUGAAUAUUUCAAAUUAAUACGAAACAAUGCUGAUGCUGCACAACUAAAGCUGGGUCAUGAAGAUAUUGUAAUAACAAUAUGUGGGCAAUGAAAAAAAAA